AAGAGGGGGGGUCGGGUUCUAAGGCACAAGGGGAUGCAUGCAUUUAUCAACAGCUAGCCACUCCUUCCUAGGCUGUCGGAAACCCGCAGGUUUUCUAGCUUUGAAGUUCCCUGCCAGUAGCAGGGGGCUAAGGGGAAAGCAGGAGGCGGGAUCGCAGGGAGAACCGCUGCCCCCCGCCCCCAUCCAGCAGCCAGGGACUGCACCCACCGGCGACACGGGUCGGGCCACACAGGAGCGCCCCGAGGCGCGCAGGAUCCGCUCCUCCGAGACGCGUCGGGCGGGCCGAGGUCUAGGGAGCCCCCGGGCCGGGCGCAGGGUCGAGCGGCCGCCAGGCUGGGCCCUCGGGGGCCCUCCCGCGCGGGCUUGGCCCGCACUCACAUCCCGCAGCGGCGGACCCGGCAGCCGCCUGCAGCCCUCGCCGGGACGGACGGGCGCCUCCGGAGCCGGGGCCGCGGCCGAGGCGCCGACGCCGCGCGAGCUCGCCCAGAGCGGGGGCCCGCCCAGCCUGUCAGCGCGGCGGGAGGCCGGCGGUGGCCGCUGCUGCCCCCUUUCUGCUCUGCCUCAGCUUCCUGCAGCCCACGCCACGCCCACCGCGCGCCGAGCCCGUCUCCGCCCUCCAGGGGCCGCACGCCGCCUCCGCUCGGCCCCGCGACGCCGGCUCAGCUGCCCUGCUCGGCGGGCUCCGGCGCGGUGCAGCUUCGGGAAAGCGGCCCCGAGCGGCGGAGCGGGGCGUGGGCAAGCCGGCGGGGGUUGGCGGGGGGGCGGAGGCCGGCACGCCCCACUGCGCCUGCGCCGCCCGCGGGGCCGCUCUGCGGGGCUGGGCCGGGACGGGGGAGGCGGCCGCGGGCUCCGGGGAAGCGGAGGCGCGCGUGGAGAUUCCCGGGGCAGCCCCCGGGCGAGAGCGCGCGAGGAGGAGGAGGAGCGGGGCGGGUGCGGGUUGGCGCAGCGUGCUUGCGGCCUCGGCUCGCGGAGGAGACGGCUGGGAAUGAGUCAGCCCGGCCGGGAAGGCCCCGCUGCGUCCGAGCUGAUAGGAUUGGCGGCCGCUGCCUCCGCGGAGACUUUCCCCUUCCUGCUUUCGUUUCCACAGGCGGCUCCCUGCCCUAAGCGCUCGGCCCAGGGGACGUGGCACCGUGGACCGGGCGCUGAGACCCAAGUACCUGACUUCAGUUAACCACCACUUCUGCGAAGGGACCGCUUGGAAGAAGAAACGACGUAUAGGGUCCCAAAGAGCCACGUUCAUUCAUUCAAGAAUUUGUUCCCUGCUAGGCAAGGGCUCCCAGGAGAGGAGACGAAGGCAGCACCCAUUCUGCAUGUGCUAUUCUCAUAGAAGCCAGAAAAGAGGCUUUAAAUCUGCACUGCUCUUUGUGUGUGAUUGCCAGUAACGGGUACACACACACACACAAAGGUGAGUGGAGAUGUUAUUUUGAGAUGACCAGAAAAGACCUCUUAGAGUGGCAUUUGAGCAGAAAUGUGAAGGAUGAGAACGAUCCAGUCCUGGAACUAUCUGGUUUCAAGAAAGAAGCUAACAAUGAAAAGGAUUCUGAAAAGGGAAUGUGUUUUAAGGACCAAGAAAGAACCCUCAAUGGAAGACAGUAAAAGGAAAGGGGCUAAAUAAGAAGACAAAGAAAUAACUGGGGUCAUUCUGUAUAGGGCUUCUUAUUUUUUCUCUUAGCCCCAGGUUUGUCAACCGAAAUGAAGCAUUCACAACACCCACGUCCCCUUAUAUACGUGACGGAUGCUGUUAUUCAGAUCUUACAUCUAUUGUUUUUUUUGUUUUUUCCUUUAUUUUUGAGUCUGUGAGCCUGGAACUCACAGAAAUCCUCCUACCUGCCUGGGGAAUGCCGAGAUCAAAGGUGUGGGCCACUACACAAUGCAUGGUUUCUUUUAAGUAAAUGUCACCAAAGCUAAAGAUAAGGUGGGCAAGAAAAAAAUAGAUGAUUAACAGUAAGCUUAUAGGAUUUAAGUCCUUUGUCAACCCACACAGGAAAACUGAGUAACUUGUUCAUUCUCAUUUACAGUGAAAAUCAUUCUCGGUGAGGUAAGAGUGAGCCAAUGAUAGUCUUGAAUGUUGAUCUCUCUUCACUCUGUAGUAGAAUGCUUUCCAGCACUAGAUGCGAUUCCUAGUAGAGGCAUAAGCUAGAGAUUUGUUCCACCUGUUAAUCUUUUCACAGAGUUCCUGCAUUCUCUAAUAAAGAUAAGGGAGAGUUCUGAGGAAUCGGACAAAAUCUUUUAUGACCUUCAGAAACUCUGCACAAACAAGUAUGGGGUGGAAGAUAAGACAUUUAGAUUUAGGACGUUUAGCAUGGCCAGACUGGAAAAAUAAAAGUCAAUAGCUAGUUGUCUGCUGUGGCACUGGGUGUAGAGACAGGAGGCAAGAUUCUGUCCUUUCUCUGUGGUAGCAGAGCUGCCUUCCAUAGGCAAACAGUAACAAGACUGUAUCGCUGUGUGAGAUCAGCCCUUGUGUUCUAUAUCUUUGUAUAGUUCUUAGGCUGUUGUGCUAUAAAGCCAGCCAUAAGUGAUACCACACUCAGGAGGCUGGGGCAAGAAGGUUCUGAGUUCCAGGCCAGCUUGGGCUACAUAGCAAGACUUGGUUUCAAAUAAACAAAGCAAGCCUAGGUUGGAAAAUUCAUGGCCAAGUGUUCCCAGCACCCACGUGGUAUCUCACAACCAUCUGUAAUUUAGGAUCUCAGUCUCCUGGAACUGAAUCCCAGGCCUCCUUCUGACCUUGGAUACUGAGCAUACAUGUAUUACACAUAUGUCCAGGCAAAACACUAUACACAUAAAGUAGACAGUCCUAAAAAAGAAGUUAUGCAGUAGAAGCUAGGUGGCCCAGGUUUCAAUCAAGGCUUUUACCAAGACAGUCACUUCAAUUUCCUAAGCUUCCUGUUUAUCCAUGUAAUGAAAAAUAUAUCCUUCUCAUCAGAAUACGAGGAUUGAGUAUAAUAGCAUCAUCAUACUUAAAGAGACAUUUUGAAGAUUGGAUAGGAAGUAUUUUAAAGCCCUUAAGCACAGCUAUUAAAUGUCUGUUACAGCCAUGGAAGGGGCAAUUUGCAGAUGCCAUCAAGCUGGGAAGUAUAAAACACGCUCUAUCUCGUCAGUAAUCCUGAGUCAUUUGUCACAAUUGCACCCCAAGAAACUGUCUUAGCCACCCUUGAUAAAAGCUGAGUUGUAAAGGAGACAGAUGUAGGGACUGGCAUUUUUACUGUAAUCUCAUUCAUUUUAAAUAGCAUCCAAAGUAAUUGAUUUCAUUAUAACGUGUGUGUGUGUGUGUGUGUGUGUGUGAUCACUUUCUUCUGACUCAUUGUCUUCUCCCACUGUCCUCUCUCAUCCCCCUCACCCUCCUCUACUUGGUCCUUUUCCCCCUCUUAAAUAGCACCUCCUUCUGUUCUCAUGUCAGUAUAUUCUAUUACCCUUUCUUUCCCCUUCCUCGCAAUCAAGAACAGUUCUUCCCCCCUUGUGCACAUUCUACUUCACACACACACACACACACAGAGAGAGAGAGAGAGAGAGAGAGAGAGAGAGAGAGGAGGCUCCUUAGAUAAGAGGACUCAAAGGCAUUUGUCUUCUAGAGUCCAGUGUACUUUCUGUCGCAGGAUGACUUUCAGUUCCACCCAUUUUCCUGCAAAUGUCACAGCUUCAUGUGUGUGUAUACACCACUUUUCCAAUAUCCACCUCCCUGUUGAUGGACACCCAGUUGUUUCUACUCCCUAGCUAUUAUGAAUGACAGUGCAGCAGUAAAUAUGGAUGUGCAAGUGUUUCUGGUGUGCAUGUGUGUGUGUGUGUGUGUGUGUGUGUAUGUGUGUGAGUUGUGUUGUGUAACGGUGUAGCUGACUUACACGGCCUUCACACUUAUUUCUGUAGUGGCUUCUUGAGUUUACGGUCCCAUUAGCAGUGUGUAGGAGUGUAUCCUACCCCGCACCCUCACCAGUAUUUGUUCCUGUUUGUUGUCCUGAUGACAGUCAUUCUGACUGGGGAGAGAUGGGAUCCAAAAGCAAUUUUAAGUUGCAUUUCCCUCAUGGUUAAGGAUGUUCAACAUUUUUUUCAAAUAUUAACUAGGCAAUUGUUCUCUUGAAAGUUGUCUACUCAGGUUAUUAGCCAACUGUUUGAGUGAAUGAUUUUUGUUGCUGCUGGUUUUGUUUUGUUUUGUUUUGUUUUUUUGGGUUUUUGGUUGGUUGGUUGGUUUAGUUUGGUUUGGUCUGGUUUUUUGAAACAGGGCUUUUCUGUGCUGCUCUGGUCAUUCUGAAACUCACUCUGUAGACCAGGCUGGCCUCAGACUCAUAGAGAUUUCCCUGCUUUUGCCUCCUGGGUGCUGGGAUUAAAGGGUUGCACCACCACUGCCCAGCUUGAACAAUUUCUUUUGAUAUUUAAUUUCUGCAGUCCUUCAUAUAUUCUAGAUGUAAGCUCCUUGUCUAGUAUACAUUAGCUAAGUUUUUUUUUCCCAUUGUAAACGCUACCUCCUCAGUUUAGCAAAUGUUUCUUUUAUUGGGAAGGAAACCCUUUAAUUUUCUGUAAUCCCCUUUGUCAAUUCUUGGGAUUGUUUUCUGUAUUUUUGGAGACCUUUUUGGGAAGUUCUUGCCCAUGCCUGUAUCUUGAAAUAUAUUACCAUACUCUCCUGAAGCAAUUUCAAAGUUUCAGGUCUGAGACUACAAUUGUGAUGCAGUUUUCAUUGAUGUGUGUGUGUGUGUGUGUGUGCACAUAUGUAUGUGCCAAGAGAAAGCUAUGUAUCUAGUUUCAUUCCUCUACAAUCAAUAUCCAGUUUUUCCCAGUACCAUUUACUGAAAAGGCUGUCUUAUUUUCCCAAGUAUGUAUUUUACAUCUCUGUCAAAACAUGUAGCCAUAGCUGUGUGGCUUCUUCUGGGUCUUCUAUUCCACUGGUCUAUGUGUCUGGGUUUGCACUGGUGCUGUACUGGUUUUGUUACGAUGGCUCUGUAGGAUGAGAUGGUUUUGUUACAAUGGCUCUGUAAUAUAGUAUAAAAUCAAGCAUUGCAGCAGCUCCAGCGUUGCCCUUGCUUAGCAUUGCUUUGAUUAUUGCAGGACCUUGUGCGUCUGUGGGAAUUUUAGAGUUGUUUUUUCUAGUUCUGUAAAGAAUGCCAAUCAGAAUUCUGAUGGGAAUUGCACUGCAUUUCUAUAUAGCUUGUAGUAAUGGAACCAUUUUCUCCCGACUGACUUCUGCCAAUCCAUGAGCAUGUGAGAGAUCUUUUCAUCUUCUGGUGUAUUCUUCAACUUCUUUAAAGUAUUAAAGUCUUUAUUUAGUCUUUAAUCUCCUCGGUUGGGUGGUUAGGUUUAUUUGUAAAUUUAUUUCGUUUUUUAAGCCAUUGUGAUUAGGACUUUCCCCCUUGAUUUAAUACCCUUGGAAAAUUCAGUAUUGGCAUGUAGAAAAGCUACUCAACUUUGUAUGAAAGUAUUUAUCGGGUCUAGGUGUUUUCUGGUGGAGACUUUGGGUCUUUUAGGUAUAGGCUCAUGUUGUCUGUAAAAAGGCCAUGUGCCUUCUUUCCUACUCAUGUCCACUUUACUUCUUUAUCUUGUCUUAUGCUUAGCUAAGACUUUGAUCAUUGGAUUGAGUAGGACUCAUGGAGGUAGCAUAUUUGUCUCCUUCCUGAUUUAGAGGAAACAAUUACAGUCUUUUCCAUUUAAUAUACUUUUGGCUAUAGGUGUGUUAUUCGUAUGUAGCCUUUACUAUGUUGACACACGUCCCUCCUGUGAGUUUCUCUGAGGCUAUUCAUCAUGAAGGGAUGUUGAACUUUGUUAAAGGACUUAUCUACAUCUAAUAAAAUGAUAAUUAUAUUCUGCGUUGUCUUGACUGAUCUGUGUAUAUUGAACCAACCUUGCCUUCCUGGAAUGAGACAAACUUGACCAUAGUGUAUAAUCACAAUGUACAUUUGUAAAAAUUAGUUUUCAAGAGUGUACAAAUGUGUUUUUUUAUUAUUUCUAUCCAUGUGAAUGUGCAUGCCACAUGUGUGCCAAUGCCUGAGGCAAGAUGCAAGCACUAUAUCCUCUGGGAAUAGGACUAAAGGCAGAGCUGCCUGAGCUAUUGAUCUAGCUUUAAGCUUUAAAGAACUUUAUUGACAAUUUUUGUAUGUAUGUUCAUCAUGGAAGUUACAGUUUUCUUUUUUGUUCUUGUGCCAUCUUCUAUUUUAGAUACAAAAGUCAUGCUUAUUUCACAGAGUGAGUUUGGUCGUGUUGUUUUUCUUUCUAAUUAUGGAACAGUUUGAGGACUUUUAGAUUUGGCUUUUCUUGAAAGAAUUCAGUAGUGAAGCCUUCCAGUCGUGAGUUUUCCUUUGUUAGAGACUUGAUUUCUGCAUCAAUCUUGUUGAUUAUUAUAGAUCUUUAGAAGGUGGUUAUAUAUUCCUGAUUCAAGUUUAGUAGAUCAUACAUGUCUAGGAAUUUAUUAUUUUUUUAUAUAGAUAGGUUUUUACAGUUCUUUAUCUGCUCAGCUCUUUAUUAUUUCUUGCUGUCUACUGCUUUGGAUUUUGGCUUCUCUUUUCUGUUUUUGAGCCUUUGAGACAGUCCACUUGGUCACAUAUCUACCAUCACACUGAUGUUUUUAAUGUAAGCCCUCCAGCUAUAAACUUUCCUUUUAAGGACUGCCUUAGCUGUAUCCCAUAGAGACUAAUAGGUUGUGCUUUCAUUUUUGCUUAAUUUUAAGAAUUUUUCUUCUCGAUUUCUUGAAUGGCCCACUGGUCCUUCCUAAAUCUAGUCAUCAGCCUCAGGUACUUCUGUAGUUUCUGUGGUUUCUUCUGCUAUUGAUCUCUAGUUUCACUGCAGUAAGAUCCAAUAAGAUACAAGAAAUUACUUUGAUUUUCUUUUAUUUGUUAAGACCUGUUCUCUUGGGGGCUGGAGAGACAGCUUAGUGGUUAAGAGCACUGGCUGCUCUUCCAGAGAACCUGGGUUCAAUUUUCAACACCCACAUGGCAGCUCACACAUGUCUGUAAGUCCAGUUUGGGGGGCCUCUGACACCCUCACACAGACAGACAUGAGGUAAAACACCAGUGGACGUAGAAUGAGGUCUGUUUUAGAGAAGGUUCCAGGGCCUUUUGAUGUAUAUUGAGUAUCUGUUGGAUUGAACUCUAUAUGUCAGAAGUCAUUUAAUCUACAGUGUGGUUUUGUGGGGUUUUAUUUUGUUUUGUUUGUUUGGUUUGGUUUGGUUUGGUUUGAUUUGGUUUGGUUUUGGUUUCUCAAGACAGGUUUCUCUGUGUAGCCCUGGCUGUCCUGAAACUCCCUUUAUAGAUGAGGCUGGUCUCAGUCUCAGAGCUCUGCCUGCCUCUGUUUCCCAAGUGCUAGGUGUGUGCCACCAUGCCCGGCCUGGAGUGCAGUUUGACGAUGAGAUCUCUUUAUUUAUUUUUGCUUUCAAAUGACCUCUAUGGAUAUGUCAUUGAGUCACUGAAGUCAUUCCUCUUGUUGUGUCAGGAUUUACCUAAACUUUUAUGUCCAUUAGUGUUUGUUUUAUAAAACGGAGAGUAUCUAUUUUCAGUAUAUGUGUAUUUAUAUUUGCUGCUUGUUCUUGAUGAAAUAUUUCCUUUAUUAAUAUGCCAUGGGGCCUCCUUUAUGUCUUCUGAGUAAGUUUUGUUUGAACUCUUCUCCAUCAGACAGCAGAAAAGCCAUGCCAGCGUGUCUUCCGUUUCUGUUCACUUGCCUGAUUGACUCAGAGCCUCUGUCUGAUUCUGAAUCUGUAAGUGUGUUUUGCUAGUUAUGUUUCUUGGGGACAUUGGAUACUUGGAUCUACUUUUUGAGCCCAGCCGGUCAGUUUGCAUCUCUUUAUCCGAGAUAAUCUGUAGUAUUGACAGAUGUGUAUUAAUUUUUGUAACUUUGGGUUGUGUUGUUGCUAGCUCCAUUCCUUCUCUGCUCUUAGAGUCAGUUGUCUGCUGGUUUAGUGCCUUGGUCCUGCCGGAUUCCUGGCCAGCCCUUUUGGUUCUGCUCCUCUCAGUAAACGUAUUCUUCUCUGUGAUCUCAUGAUUGAGACCUUCCACCUUUUCUGUGUGUAAUAUGCCUUGGGUGUUUUUAGGUUUGCUCUGUUUUGCUUUGUAUUUUUGGACUUGCUAGUCAUAAACUUGUCAUGUGCUUGUCUUGUAUGUCUACUUCUCUGUCAGAGCUAAGAGAGAGCUUUGGUGGAGGGAGUGACCUUAGCGGAAAGGUUUUGUGCUCUCAGAGCAUGAUAUAUACUGCGCCGUGUUUUAGGAUUGUUGCUGCGGUGUCUCCGUGGUAUGGAAACAUGCUUGUCCAACAACAACCACUCGUGUUGAUGAUUUGGCAUUUCCCCUGAAACCUUUCCUAUUAUCCUUUCCUUUGCAUCCCCAAAAUCUUGAUUAUGAUAGAUGAGAAGUGGCUUUUCCUUGGAUGUCUGCCUGUUGCUCUAGAUUUUAGGAGGGAGGGAAAGUUAUGUUAUAAUUUAAUUGGGUAGAUUCUUUAUAUCUUUAGUUUUACGUCUCAUUUCCUUUUUCCAUUCCACAGAUUCGUGGGUUUAGACCAUUGAUGAUAUCCCAGAGUCUUGGCCACUGUACCACGAUCCUGUUUUCUUACUGUAUUUGGAUGCAGCCUGACCUUUGCCUUGGCAUCCAUUCAUCCAUGAUGUUCUUCCUCUGCUUGCUUAAGUCCAUUGAUUACGCUUUACGUUUCAGUCUGUUUGUUUUCAUGCAGUUGUCAUUUCCAUUGCUUCUGUUUGGCUUUAUCCCAAUCUCUCCAUUUCCUUGCUAACUUUCGGUUCUCCAUCAAUCCUGUUGACUUUCUCACCCUUUCUGCUGAUCGUUUCCUCUUGUCUGUGGAUUUUCCUCUUCAGGUCCUACUUGAAUUCCUUACUUGUCUGUGCCAUCUCUGAGGUCAUCCAUCCCCUUUGAAGUCUUGUGUUUCACUGUGAUUUGCAUUUCUGAUGGUGUGAAUGGUUCUUCUGGUUUUAUUUUGGAUUCUUAUUGUUGAACAGCAUGUCUUUGAAGCCUCAAUACCACUUACAGAAAAUAAAACAAACUACUACACUACGAGGAACAUGAAACCAUAGAAGUAAGACACGUGCUUUAAAAAAAACUCAAUAACAUAUCACUAAUAUCCAUAAAACAAAACAGAAAAUGGCAAAACUACUGUACUGUACUGUGAACCUAAAAAGUAUUUAGAGCAAAGGUGGAAGCAGUGAAUGCUGGGGAAAGGCAGGCAAAGAGCAAACCAAAAACCGAAAUAAGAUUAAAUAAAUAUGAGAGAAAAUAAGCGGAGGAGGAGAGGAGAGUGUUUUAGAGGGCAAGAGGGUAGAGCAAGGCGUCAGGAAAAAUAAAAAUAAGAUAAAACCCAGAAAGCUCCAUUGUAAUCACAGACCGUACAAAGCUCAAAACCAAAAAGUGGUAAACAUAAGAAAGUGACAAAAAAAUUAAGCGUGGAUUUUAAAAACGAUAUGACAAAGACAAAAUAACCACUAAAUGUAUAAUAGAAAAAAAAAGAAACGAAAAGAAAAGAAGACAAGAGCAGAAGGCAGGGGAGGGGGGAGGGGGAGGAGGAAAAAGAGGAGGAAGAGGAAAGAAAGAACUUUAUAAAGAGUGAGAAAAAGAAAAAUAUCUCAGCUGGGCGGUGGUGGCGCACGCCUUUAAUCCCAGCACUUGGGAGGCAGAGGCAGGUGGAUUUCUGAAUUCGAGACCAGCCUGGUCUACAAAGUGAGUUCCAGGACAGCCAGGGCUACACAGACAAACCCUAUCUCGGAAAAAAAAAAGAAAAAAGAAAAAAAAAAAAAAGAAAAAUAUCUCCCAGUAAUGAGAAAAAUCUGUAAACAUCACUAAAUGCACAAAGAUAAUCUAAAAGCUAAUCCAAAAAAUAUUAGCAAAAUAAAUUUAAAAUACUGCUGAAAGUAUUAGUAAAAGAAAGGGAGGAGGGACUACAAGAUAGGGAUGACUCAGCUUCUCUUGAUCCUUGGAAACUCAAGGCUGCCAGUAAAAUGCAUGGGAGGGGUCAGCCACGUCUGUGGGCUUGUAGUUCCUAUAGUUUAUACUGUUGUUCCUGCACGGGUCCUGGGCAAGUACCCACGUCUGCCAGAGUUGUGCUCACUAGGGUACCUUCCCUUCCUUGCCUGUCCAAGGCCUCCCCUGGCCAUACUUGCCUUUAUGGAAUGUAGUCUGGACAGUCUCUCUCCCUCUUGAGACUCCCCAGAUUGAAUUCCCUUGGGCGGUUAGUGUUCCAGCAGAAGAUCUCUUCCAAAUGGGAGAAGAAAAUGAAAUCCCUGAAAACUCUACACACCAAGGACUAGUCUUUGUACUCUCGGGACCUCUUAAGCGUUGAUCGGCUUCAGGGGUACCGCUUGAGUGUCAAGAAGCCAAGUGGAGCUGAAACAGUCCCCAUACACGACUGAUAGCUGACAGCAAAAGCUGAUCCACACACUGGCCUUCAGUCUCAGGGCCAUCAAACUCCAGACUCAUUCUCAGUUUCAUCAAGGCAAAUCUCUUCGUCUCUGAGGACAAGGCUACCUUUCCUUUACGCCCUGAGCCAACACUCCACCCCCACCCCUUCACUCUUGCCUUAUCAGCAUCGAGUUCUCCCACACUCCAAAGGUGCCUCCAGAGGCUGACUCACUCCCUGGAACUGUGACUAGUUAGCUUCAGUCUCUCUUUCCUGCGGUUGUCUCUGUACGCAGGACCCUAGGGAAGCUCAGCGUUAAGCAACAGCUUCCUUCUUCGGGUAGAACCCAGUCCCUGUCGUCUGAGUCAUACGCAAUGAUAGUGUCUCCAUGGCUGGCCCAUCCACCAGAGGACCACUAUUUCACCAACGCCAGCAACUGGAUCUGAGGCUUUCUAGGCCUACGGGCUUAUCCCGAGGAGACAUCUUCUAUCCCACACGCUUACCAAAACUCCCUAUGCUAUGAUUUUUUAAAUGUAAGAAACCAACUGUAUCAGAGCUGGUCACAAUAUUUCAAGUCUCUAACUCCGGCACAUGGGAGACUGAGGCAGAAUAGUCAUGAGUUUGAGGAUAGCCUGGACUUCAUAGCAGUUUCAAAGCAAGUCUCAAGUACAAAGGAAGACCCCAUCUUGAAGAGGAAACGAGAAGAGAGAAACACUUUAAAAAAAAAAAAACCUGUCGUUGAACAAGAUAAUGACAACCUCUUUGUUUCUCAUUUGUUUGCUUGCUUAGUAUUCUGCUGCAUUUUAUUUAUUUUAGUUGGUUGUGUCGUUUGUCUUGGGGUGAGGCAGGAUUUUACUGUGUAGCUGGGGUGGAACUUGCUCUGCUUCCAGAGUGCUGGAGUCUCAGAGUGGAGCACCACCCCCAGAGGAGCCAUCAUCCCUAAGUGUUAACUAUGUUUCAAGCCAAAGAAAGAUUUGAGAAAGUCUCUGGUUGGCAGACUCAUACCAAGAUCUGAGGAUGGGUCCAAAAAGUAUUUUGUUUCAUUCCAAAAUAGAGAAAAUAUGAUUUUCUGAAGGAAAAAAAAAAGAGGAAGUAGUAGCUAUGGAAAGAGGCUAAUUUAUUUUAGGUCUAGGAUUAUAAACAGGGUGUCUGAAUCAGGUAAACAGACAAGCGAACAACAUUGUCUUACUUUAAAUCAAUCACAGGUCUGCCUCAGUACACCCUCAUUCUGACAUCGGUCCUCUUCACAGUCUUUGUGUUCUGCAGAACAAAACUUCCUUUCCUUUGACAUGAGCAGACUGUACAUGAGAACCAAAUAGUUUUCCACUAUGUAAACCCUUUUAGGUUAGGGUAAUUAUCUGUCUAAAUACACAGAAUGUCAAGUGCAACUUUGCUCUACUUUGAACAAAGGGGAAAAAAAAGUUUUUUGAAAUGUAGUUUUACAAUGUGCACCGAGCUGGGCUUGAACUCACGAACCCCCUGUGCCGCUGAGCAUCUGGGAUCACAGACAGCAGUGUCAACAACACAAGAGUUGACUAAAGACAGUGAGAGUUACCUGCCCACAAAUUGUUAUUUUUGAAAACAAUACGUUGCAAGAUCUACUGUGAAAAGCAGAAAUUCAGGUGGAAAGUUCAACAUGUAAAUGUGUUUGUCACCAAGUCUGACCACUUGAGGAAAUUCCUCUGAAGCUUGAACAUAGACGGAGAGAACUGAAUCCGGUGAGUUGACCUCUGACCCCUACAUAUCUCUUACGGUGGGUGCAACUCACAUUCCUGUGGGCGUGUGCACACACACAUAUGUAAAUACAUGUAUAAAAAUAAAUGUGACAACCUAAAAAUAGAAAAUGUCCAUACUGAAGUGCCAAUGUAGAAAGUAUUGACUUCUGAGACUAAAGUGUACACUCUUUCUCCCAAGCCUAGCUUCUUUCUAAAGAACAUAAUGGCUAGAAGUGCCAGCCUCCAUUGCCUAGUUAGUGUGUGCCCCUCUCUGUUUCCGUUGAUUGGAGCAUAAUGAACACCUGACUCAAGCAGAACCAGAAGUUCCCUUCCAGGGAAUUUGGAAUUGAGAGUCAUAGACCAUACAUCCCUUUUUUGUUUGCAGGAAGUGAGAUCACCCAUACUCUGGGGUUGAGGCAACCACCGUAAGAGUAAUGUCUGGGUUCUCAUACCUGGAGUUGCAGAGGAGUGGACCAGUAGAGGGAGGAAAACAGGGGAGGCAGCCAUAGGCAAGUGCUGGCUCUGGUUAGCCCCUCCUCCCUAACAAUUCCUGUAAAACACUACUGGGAUAUGCUGUUGCUCCAUGAUGACGCUCUCCUAUUUAAAGUCAUGCCACAGAACCUUUAGCUGAGUCUCCAGCAUUAAAGCAAAUGCCCAUUUGUCUUUAGACCUUUGUGUUCCUCUAAAUCUUUCCCUCUGGUGCCUCCUCUUUUGGAAGUCUUGAAACUAUGCCUCUUUAUCUACCCAUCGUGAGAGCUGAUGAAUGGAAGGCAGGUGUGCUCCUCUAAGGAGAGGCAGCUGCUGUUGAGAAAGUGCUUUCUAUUGAUUCUUUCGUUGCUGGUAUAUUCUGAAGCCCACUACAAGAGCACAUAUCUAAAUUCAUUUUCCUGGAAGUUGCUUUCUUAAAAAAAAAAAAAAAACUUACAUCAUUCACAACAGAUCAAACUUCAGCCAGUCUAGUACAAAUUGAAUUGGGUCUCCCGAGAAAAUAUGUUGAAGUCCUAACCACUAUUUCCUAUGGAUGUGGAAAUGCUCGUUGGAAAAUACUCUCUCUGCAGAGCUAAUCAAGCAACAAAUGAAAGCACUAAGGUGAACCCUGACCUGGAAUGACAGGAAUUCCUAGGAAUGCACAGGAACACAGGCUAUGUGAAUUGGAGGCAGAGGUCACCGUGACACAUCUUCCUAAAGAGGAACAGGUUAAAGAGACCUGGGGGCCAUCAGAAGCUGGAAGAAGCAACGAAGGAAUCCUCUCACCCCGAAACUUCACACGAAGCUUGACCCUUGCCAACCCCUUGGGAAGCCUAGUUUUCAGAUUUAUGAAAGAAUAAGUUCCUACUGAUAUAAGCCAUCCAAUGUGGUAGUCUAGGGUAGUCUAGAAAAGUAAUAGACUAGGUAGUGCUUCUCAAACUGAAGUCCAGACAAGUCUUGGACUUUUUAAAUUCCCCUGUCUGACACAGGAAAUGCUGCCUGAGAAUUGACAGCGACUUGUUAGAGGGAAGAAAUCAGUCUCCUUAUUACUCUUUCCUGUUUGUUUGCUUUCCCAUUGAAUCGCAGUGCUUCUGUUUACUUAUUUCCUGUCACCUUCACUUGUCACACGACAAUGAUAAAGGAUGUAGCAGUCCUAAGGCAGGCUUUGGCUGGGUACUCCACGGCUACAAGAAUGUUGGUAUCACACACAUCCCUCCCAGAUGUCAAAUCAGCCCUUUCCUGAAGCACAGGAAGCUUGCCGGGAACCAAGGACAUUCCAGCAAGUUCAGCUUUAGUAAGAAUGAUGACAGGAAAAACGUGUAAGGCGACUAUUAAUUACUGAAAUAUGCUUGUCUUAAACCUCGUGAAAGCGUAGGGUGUAUGCCUUCAUGUCUACUGUCGAUAUAAAAACAUUUUAAUGUA